rnacentral:rRNA from 1 species
UCGUGAGAUGUUGGGUUAAGUCCCGCAACGANNNCGGNNNNNGUUCUUAGUUGCCAUCAUUAAGUUGGGCUCUCUAGGAAGACUGCCGAGGACAACUCGGAGGAAGGUGUGGACGACGUCAAGUCAUCAUGGCCCUUACGUCCUGGGCUACACACGUGCUACAAUGGACGGUACAAUGGGUUGCCAAAUCGCGAGAUGGAGCCAAUCCNNAAAGCCGUCCUCNGUUCGGAUAGUAGUCUGCAACUCGACUACUUGAAGCUGGAAUCGCUAGUAAUCGUGGAUCAGCAUGC